UGGGGAAUCUUCCGCAAUGGACGAAAGUCUGACGGAGCAACGCCGCGUGAACGAUGACGGCCUUCGGGUUGUAAAGUUCUGUUAUACGGGACGAAUGGCGUAGCGGUCAAUACCCGUUACGAGUGACGGUACCGUAAGAGAAAGCCACGGCUAACUACGUGCCAGCAGCCGCGGUAAUACGUAGGUGGCAAGCGUUGUCCGGAAUUAUUGGGCGUAAAGGGCGCGCAGGCGGCGUCGUAAGUCGGUCUUAAAAGUGCGGGGCUUAACCCCGUGAGGGGACCGAAACUGCGAUGCUAGAGUAUCGGAGAGGAAAGC
rnacentral:rRNA from 1 species